rnacentral:rRNA from 1 species
AUUGAACGCUGGCGGCAGGCCUAACACAUGCAAGUCGAACGAGCGGCGGACGGGUGAGUAAUAUAUCGGGAUCUGCCCGAUAGCGGGGGAUAACUACUGGAAACGGUGGCUAAUACCGCCUACUAUCGGAUCGGCCGAUAUUGGAUUAGCUCGUUGGUGGGGUAAAGGCUCACCAAGGCGACGAUCCCUCGCUGGUCUGAGAGGAUGAUCAGCCAAAAUGGGACUGAGAAACGGCCCAGACUCCUACGGGAGGCAGCAGUGGGGAAUAUUGCACAAUGGGCGAAAGCCUGAUGCAGCCAUGCCGCGUGUAUGAUGAAGGCCUUCGGGUUGUAAAGUACUUUCAGCAGGGAGGCGGUAGCUGCAGAAGAAGCACCGGCUAACUACGUGCCAGCAGCCGCGGUAAUAC